rfam:Lactobacillus mucosae LM1, complete genome.
GUUGGGGUAGGAAAAUAUGAGUUAUUGUCCGGUGGAGCGGAAUGUGGAAACCGGAAGGAAGCUGCGGCUGCUUGUAUUUUCCGCAUUCACCACC